rnacentral:lncRNA from 1 species
AUUUCCAAUUCCUCCUUUCUUUCUAACAUCCUCUCCCUAUUGUCCAAUUAGUCUCUUCCUUCUCUUGUUAGGACAAGUCCAAAAAUAGAAAGGACAAGUCCGAUUUUAGGACAAGAGUCUAGAAAGAGAAUUAAGGAAGACAAGGAGAGAAGAAAGGUAGGGAUAGGAAGGCUAGGAGAAGAGGAAGAGCGUCUUGAGAUCCUGGUGUUCAAAAAAAUUCUCAAAGUGAGAAUUUUGGAGGAAAAAUCAUCUCAAAGAGUUGGUGUCCUAAUCAUAGCCCUAUGUGGAUCACCGUUGGAGGGCGAAUACUUGGGCACCUGGUGGAGGUUCUGCCGAAAUUUGGAUUAAGCGCUGCAGGUAUUCUUCUGUAACUUAAAUUUAAUCUUGAAUUUAUGUUAUAUAUGAUUGUUAAUCAUCAAGGAGAUACUG